rnacentral:misc_RNA from 1 species
AAAACCAAUAUCAGAAAAGAAAAGCACUCAUCUCAAAGGUUUCCCCACAAAGGGGAAAACAACUAGCAAUGGGCAAUAUCAAAAAGUUGUAAAACAAAACUAUAAACUACAAUAUAAGAUUCUAAAUGAUGAUUUGAUACACCUAAAAUAUAGCGCAAUAUUUCGGAAAAGGUUAGAAAUUUAAAACAAUUUAUGUUUUUAGGCUUGCCCUUCUUGUAAUUCUCCACUAAUGUAGGUCACUUGGCUUAGGAUCAAAAUACGGGUUUAUGAAGGAUGUAAAUAAUUGUAAUGUAGGCUACGGCAUGGUAGGAUAUAUAUGGAUAAAAGUAGCUCAAAAUUCCCUUAAGCACCACAAAUACUUGAACUAGUAAGACCUUUCUUCAUUUCCUUUAUUUACA